rnacentral:lncRNA from 1 species
UAGUAGUGUGACUGGUUUUUUGACUUGAGAUGGUAUUGCUGCUCAUAAUGAGAUUGCUAGAGUUUGACUAACACAUAAAUAUAGGUCUCAAUGAGUGCUUGUAGCAGAUGUUGGCGAUAGUUGAUCCACUGUAGGAGUGGGGUACGCAUCAAGAUAGGAUCUAUCGAUCUUGAUAGAGAGGAGUAUUCCUAUGAGAUUUGAGAG